AUCGUUCCAGACACUGAAUUGACCCUGGAUCACAGGUCAACAUCGUUCCAGACACUGAAUUGACCCUGGAUCACAGGUCAACAUCGUUCCAGACACUGAAUUGACCCUGGAUCACAGGUCAACAUCGUUCCAGACACUGAAUUGUUACGGUUACAGGUAAAACCAGUGGUGAACACAAAACAAAGGAGAAGACUGGAAGAUUACAGUGGUGAAGCAAUUGCCGCUUCAGGGACAUGAACAUUGGUGCUGGAGGGAGAUGAUCUCACAAGGUUUCGUUUGUCAUAGUAAAGAGAGAAAUAAACAGCCAUCUUUGGGUUAAAGUCAUGUAACUUACUGGGUCUAGUAAAACAGGUUCAUAUGGUGAAAUUACUAAUGUUGAGGAUGCAUAUGCUGAUGUUUUCCAGGGAAGGUUCAUAUGCUGAAAUGACUAAUGUUGGGAUGCAUAUGCUGAUGUUUUCCAGGGAAGGUUCAUAUGCUGAUGUUUUCCAGGGAAGGUUCAUAUGCUGAAAUGACUAAUGUUGGGAUGCAUAUGCUGAUGUUUUCCAGGGAAGGUUCAUAUGGUGAAAUGACUAAUGUUGAGGAUGCAUAUGCUGAUGUUUUCCAGGGAAGGUUCAUAUGCUGAAAUGACUAAUGUUGGGAUGCAUAUGCUGAUGUUUUCCAGGGAAGGUUCAUAUGCUGAAAUGACUAAUGUUGGGAUGCAUAUGCUGAUGUUUUCCAGGGAAGGUUCAUAUGCUGAAAUGACUAAUGUUGAGGAUGCAUAUGCUGAUGUUUUCCAGGGAAGGUUCAUAUGCUGAAAUGACUAAUGUUGGGAUGCAUAUGCUGAUGUUUUCCAGGGAAGGUUCAUAUGCUGAAAUGACUAAUGUUGGGAUGCAUAUGCUGAUGUUUUCCAGGGAAGGUUCAUAUGCUGAAAUGACUAAUGUUGGGAUGCAUAUGCUGAUGUUUUCCAGGGAAGGUUCAUAUGCUGAAAUGACUAAUGUUGAGGAUGCAUAUGCUGAUGUUUUCCAGGGAAGGUUCAUAUGCUGAUGUUUUCCAGGGAAGGUUCAUAUGCUGAAAUGACUAAUGUUGAGGAUGCAUAUGCUGAUGUUUUCCAGGGAAGGUUCAUAUGCUGAAAUGACUAAUGUUGGGGAUGCAUAUGCUGAUGUUUUCCAGGGAAGAGUAAAACUCAAGGUGCAGAACAACAUGGAGUUAGAGCAUCCACAUAGACCAGUGAUCCAUGUACCUAGAAAGGUCUCAUUAUCACUAAGAGACCAGCUAACAGCAGAGAUACUGUAGACCAGUGAUCCAUGUACCUAGAAAGGUCCCAUUAUCACUAAGAGACCAGCUAACAGCAGAGAUACUGUAGACCAGUGAUCCAUGUACCUAGAAAGGUCCCAUUAUCACUAAGAGACCAGCUAACAGCAGAGAUACUGUAGACCAGUGAUCCAUGUACCUAGAAAGGUCCCAUUAUCACUAAGAGACCAGCUAACAGCAGAGAUACUGUAGACCAGUGAUCCAUGUACCUAGAAAGGUCCCAUUAUCACUAAGAGACCAGCUAACAGCAGAGAUACUGUAGACCAGUGAUCCAUGUACCUAGAAAGGUCCCAUUAUCACUAAGAGACCAGCUAACAGCAGAGAUACUGUAGACCAGUGAUCCAUGUACCUAGAAAGGUCUCAUUAUCACUAAGAGACCAGCUAACAGCAGAGAUACUGUAGACCAGUGAUCCAUGUACCUAGAAAGGUCCCAUUAUCACUAAGAGACCAGCUAACAGCAGAGAUACUGUAGACCAGUGAUCCAUGUACCUAGAAAGGUCUCAUUAUCACUAAGAGACCAGCUAACAGCAGAGAUACUGUAGACCAGUGAUCCAUGUACCUAGAAAGGUCCCAUUAUCACUAAGAGACCAGCUAACAGCAGAGAUACUGUAGACCAGUGAUCCAUGUACCUAGAAAGGUCCCAUUAUCACUAAGAGACCAGCUAACAGCAGAGAUACUGUAGACCAGUGAUCCAUGUACCUAGAAAGGUAUCAUUAUCACUAAGAGACCAGCUAACAGCAGAGAUACUGUAGACCAGUGAUCCAUGUACCUAGAAAGGUCUCAUUAUCACUAAGAGACCAGCUAACAGCAGAGAUACUGUAGACCAGUGAUCCAUGUACCUAGAAAGGUCUCAUUAUCACUAAGAGACCAGCUAACAGCAGAGCUACUGUAGACCAGUGAUCCAUGUACCUAGAAAGG